GCUCGCUUAGCACAGUGGUAGUGCAUUGUACUUAUGUGGUGACCUGAUUACCGAAUCCAAAUGCAAGGGUCCUGAGUUCGACCCUCAGAGUGAGCA